UAUCAAACAUGAAAACUGGCAACUCUUUUCAGUUUCAAAAGAGGACAAUCUUCUCUUAUUUACAGAAGACAUCUAGAACACAGCUGCUGACAUGUUACAUCUGGAAAUCACUGCUUGCAUAGGCGAGUCAAAGCUUCUUAGACCUGAUUCACAAAUUAUUCUGAAUCUAGAAGGUCCCUUUCACCACAGAAUAUUCUAUGAUGUCCUGUAAAGGGAACAAUAGAAAAAGGCAGAUAUAGCCCUAUUGGGCCAACAGAGGUAUCCCUAAUAAUGCACAAUAAAGAGGCUUCUUUUCAAAAAGUAAUUUGUCUCCAAGGUGAUAUCAGAGGGGCAAGCCAUUCCUGAAAGUACAGCUUUCUUGCUCUUAGUGACCGGUCUUCUUUGGGUAGGAGCUGUUCAUAUGUUAUUUGUACCAGAGGCAUAUUGAAGCACACACAUCAUGUAUGUCUUGCAGUCUUUCUUCCUCAGAUUACCUGCAGGCAUUCCUUAAAGAGAAUCACAACACUAAAUCUUACCCAAGGGUGAGAUUUCCAAGAGUGAUAAAAACUCUUCUGCCAGUCAGGUGCCAAGGUGUCAACAUUUUUUUUAGAGCCCUCUUCCCUGUAACUGUGUAAAGUCUAGGGGCACUGAAGGCUGCCCGUAACUGCGUCGUCAUACUGCAAGUGAAAGCCAGUCAGGUCAGGAGUGACACAGAUGAGACGAGGAUUUUCUGAAGAAACGAAAGAGGCAAGUAGGAGUGUCCCAGAAUCUAUGCGGAAGGCUAUGGAGAUUCCCCAUUUUGUGAAGAUAGUGGAACAAACAGAGAACAAGACAGGUGCUAGCUCUGCAGCUCCUCAGCAGGCAGUCCUGGUGAGAAGGAUGAAGACUCCCCAUGCAGAAACGAAAGGGGCAGCAAAGACUAGCAUCACCCUUGAAUCGAUACAGAAAGUUAUGGAGAUUCCCUGUUUUGUGAAGAUGGUGGAACAGACGGAUAAGGAACUAGAACCUGAGACCAAGGCACAAGAUUUCCAAGAGCUAAAGAGAAGAUUUCAGCCUCCAAGUAUGCAGGGUCCCAUGCCUCUUGACUGCGGUCAUCUUUGGGAAUAUCUCAGUUACUAUUCUGCAACUCCUCGGCUGGUAGUCCCAGAUGGAAAGAUGAUGACACCCCAUGCAGGAAGGACCAUGGACAGAAACACCACGAGGGCUCAGGAAUCCAUGCGGGAGGAGGUGGAGAGGAUUCUGACUGAGAAGCUGGCUGUGUUGCAGAGCCAACUGGAAGUCUCACAGCACACAGCCCCACCUCCGUAGGAAAUGGCCAACACCCAGGCUUCCUUCCAGGCCAUCUCUGAAAAAAUGCAGUCUCUGAUGACAUUUUUGCAGAACGUGGAGGCAUCUAGAAAGCAAGAUGCCUCAGAGAUCCUUGAGAUCCUCAGAGCAGAGAUGCAGGGCAAAAUAAGCAAGGAUUUG
rnacentral:lncRNA from 1 species